GUAAGGAAUAUUGGACAAUGGACGCAAGUCUGAUCCAGCCAUGCCGCGUGAAGGAUUAAGGUCCUCUGGAUUGUAAACUUCUUUUAUAAGGGACGAAAAAAGGCUUUUCUAAGUCGUCUGACGGUACCUUAUGAAUAAGCACCGGCUAACUCCGUGCCAGCAGCCGCGGUAAUACGGAGGGUGCAAGCGUUAUCCGGAUUCACUGGGUUUAAAGGGUGCGUAGGCGGGCAGGUAAGUCAGUGGUGAAAUCCUAGAGCUUAACUCUAGAACUGCCAUUGAUACUAACUGUCUUGAAUAUUGUGGAGGUAAGCGGAAUAUGUCAUGUAGCGGUGAAAUGCUUAGAUAUGACAUAGAACACCUAUUGCGAAGGCAGCUUACUACGCAUAUAUUGACGCUGAGGCACGAAAGCGUGGGGAUCAAACAGGAUUAGAAACCCGAGUAGUCC
rnacentral:rRNA from 1 species